UACGUAGGGGGCAAGCGUUACUCGGAAUUACUGGGCGUAAAGGGUGAGUAGGCGGCUGGGCAAGUCAAGGAUGAAAGCCCGAGGCUCAACUUCGGAACCGUCCUUGAAACUGCUCAGCUUGAGGGUAGUUGAGGAGAGCGGAAUUCCCGGUGGAGCGGUGAAACGCGUAGAUAUCGGGAGGAACACCUGAGGCGAAGGCGGCUCUCUAAGCUACUCCUGACGCUGAAUCACGAAAGCUAGGGGAGCAAACGGG
rnacentral:rRNA from 1 species